AGCGAACGCUAGCGGGUGGCUUAACACAUGCAAGUCGAGCGAAGACUUCGGUCUUAGCGGCGAACGGGUGAGUAACACGUAGGGUAGCUACCCUUUGGUGAGGGAUAACUCGGGGAAACCCAAGCUAAUACCACAUGUGGCCUACGGGUCAAAGGCUUCGGCCGCCAGAGGAGGUUCCUGCGUCCCAUUAUUUAAUCCUAGUUGGUAGGGUAACGGCCUACCAAGGGUACGAUGGGUAGCUGUUCUGAGAGGAAGAUCAGCCACACUGGGACUGAGACACGGCCCAG
rnacentral:rRNA from 1 species